rnacentral:rRNA from 1 species
GGGCCCGCACAAGCAGUGGAGCAUGUGGUUUAAUUCGACGCAACGCGAAGAACCUUACCAGCGUUUGACAUGGGAAGUGCCGGUUACAGAAUGGUAACCUUCAGUUCGGCUGGCUUCCGCACAGGUGCUGCAUGGCUGUCGUCAGCUCGUGUCGUGAGAUGUUGGUUAAGUCCCGCAACGAGCGCAACCCUUAUCGUUAGUUACUAACAGUUCGGCUGAGGACUCUAGCGAAACUGCCGGUGAUAAGCCCGGAGGAAGGUGGGGGAUGACGUCAAGUCCUCAUGGCCCUUACACGCUGGGCUACACACGUGCUACAAUGGUAACUACAACGGGACGCAAUACCGCGAGGUGGAG